rnacentral:rRNA from 1 species
GACGAACGCUGGCGGCGUGCUUAACACAUGCAAGUCGAACGGAAAGGCCUCUUUCGGGGGGUACUCGAGUGGCGAACGGGUGAGUAACACGUGAGUAACCUGCCCUUGACUUUGGGAUAACUUCAGGAAACUGGGGCUAAUACCGGAUAGGAGCUCCUGCUGCAUGGUGGGGGUUGGAAAGUUUCGGCGGUUGGGGAUGGACUCGCGGCUUAUCAGCUUGUUGGUGGGGUAGUGGCUUACCAAGGCUUUGACGGGUAGCCGGCCUGAGAGGGUGACCGGCCACAUUGGGACUGAGAUACGGCCCAGACUCCUACGGGGGGCAGCAGUGGGGAAUAUUGCACAAUGGGUGGAAGCCUGAUGCAGCAGCGCCGUGUGCGGGAUGACGGCCUUCGGGUUGUAAACCGCUUUCGCUCAUGACGAAGCUUUGUGUGACGGUAGUGGGUAAAGAAGCACCGGCUAACUACGUG